GGUGAGUAACACGUGAGCAACCUGCCCUGGACUCUGGGAUAAGCGCUGGAAACGGUGUCUAAUACUGGAUAUGAGCUCUCAUCGCAUGGUGGGGGUUGGAAAGAUUUUUCGGUCUGGGAUGGGCUCGCGGCCUAUCAGCUUGUUGGUGAGGUAAUGGCUCACCAAGGCGUCGACGGGUAGCCGGCCUGAGAGGGUGACCGGCCACACUGGGACUGAGACACGGCCCAGACUCCUACGGGAGGCAGCAGUGGGGAAUAUUGCACAAUGGGCGGAAGCCUGAUGCAGCAACGCCGCGUGAGGGAUGACGGCCUUCGGGUUGUAAACCUCUUUUAGCAGGGAAGAAGCGAGAGUGACGGUACCUGCAGAAAAAGCGCCGGCUAACUACGUGCCAGCAGCCGCGGUAAUACGUAGGGCGCAAGCGUUAUCCGGAAUUAUUGGGCGUAAAGAGCUCGUAGGCGGUUUGUCGCGUCUGCUGUGAAAUCCCGAGGCUCAACCUCGGGCCUGCAGUGGGUACGGGCAGACUAGAGUGCGGUAGGGGAGAUUGGAAUUCCUGGUGUAGCGGUGGAAUGCGCAGAUAUCAGGAGGAACACCGAUGGCGAAGGCAGAUCUCUGGGCCGUAACUGACGCUGAGGAGCGAAAGGGUGGGGAGCAAACAGGCUUAGAUACCCUGGUAGUCCACCCCGUAAACGUUGGGAACUAGUUGUGGGGACCAUUCCACGGUUUCCGUGACG
rnacentral:rRNA from 1 species